UGAAUUUAAGCAUAUAAAUACGCAGAGGAAACAAAACAAAACUUGACCCCUCCAGUAAUGGCGAAUGAACAGGGAGCAGCUCAUUGUGGAAAUCAGCGCUAGCUAGCCCGACUUGUAUUCACAAGGUGUAGCACCAGUGGAUGCGCAGGCGUAAACCUGGUGGAAAAGAGUACCAGCGAAGGUGAGAGUCCUGCAUGUAGCCUGCUGCCGUCUGCGCACGGUGCGCAUGCGACGAGUCACGCUCCUUGGGCAUGGAUCGUAAAGCAGGUGGUAACUUUCACUUCAAGCUAAGCACUAGCACGAGACCGAUAGCAAACAAGUACCAUGAGGGACAUCUGAAAAGAACUUUGUGAAGAGAGUUAAAGAGUGUUUGAAAUUGCUGAAGUGGAUGCGAAAGUGAUUUGUGUGACAUGAUUAGACUGCUGCGUGCGGCCCGUCUUGAAACACGGACCAAGGAGUCUAGCACCCGCGCAAGCGCACGGACUGCCGAGGGCUGUAUGCAUAAUGAAAAUAAAUGCUGGGCAACUUGUACCAGCGACCAACCAUUCGUUCGAGAAAGGCUUGAGUACGAGCGCGGCUGUUAGGACCCGAAAGAUGGUGAACUAUGCUUGUGAAGGGCAAACUCAGGGGAAACUCUGAUGAAGGCCCACAGCGAUACUGACGUGCAAAUCGUUCGUCAUACAUGGGCGUAGGGGCGAAAGACUAAUCGAGCCAUCUAGUAGCUGGUCCCC
rnacentral:rRNA from 1 species